UACGUAGGGGGCUAGCGUUAUCCGGAAUUACUGGGCGUAAAGGGUGCGUAGGCGGUCUUUCAAGCCAGAAGUGAAAGGCUACGGCUCAACCGUAGUAAGCUUUUUGAACUGUAAGACUUGAGUGCAGGAGAGGUAAGUGGAAUUCCUAGUGUAGCGGUGAAAUGCGUAGAUAUUAGGAGGAACACCAGUGGCGGAGGCGACUUACUGGACUGUAACUGACGCUGAGUCACGAAAGCGUGGGUAGCAAACAGGAUUAGAUACCCUGGUAGUCCCUGAG
rnacentral:rRNA from 1 species